UAAGACUUUCGGAACGGAUAUCUCGGCUCUCGAAUCGUUGAAAACGAAGCGAANUGCGUACNUGGUGUGAAUUGCAGAAUCCCGUGAACNAUCGAGUCUUUGAACGCAAGUUGCGCCCGAAGCCAUUAGGCCGAGGGCACAUCUGCC
rnacentral:rRNA from 1 species